GGAGGGGUGGCCGAGCGGCUUAAGGCAGCGGUCUUGAAAACCGCCGAUGGGAGUCUUGAAAACCGCCGAUGGGAAACCAUCCGAGAGUUCGAAUCUCUCUUCCUCCGCCA
rnacentral:tRNA from 1 species